AUGCUAUUGAAAUAUAUGCCCCGUCUCCUAGACUGUCAGAUUAAAUGCUUUCAUAGCAAUCAGUUGGCUGAAUGUUUCCCUUUUUUCACCCUUUUUUUUUUAAUAAAUAUCCAUAUUUCCUCCAGACUGCCAGAUUAUCUUCAGCAAGAGAAUUUCUUGCUUUUGCAAAAACAAAAGGAAGCCAAUUCAUUUACCUACUCCCUGCUUUUGGGCUGCUUUGCAGAACCAUCAGUUUAUAAAUGCUUCAGGAAUGUUUUGCCUUCGUCAUGGGUCUGGGAUGAACAACCCAACCUGCCAUAGCUUGAUUCCUCUUUGUGAGAAGCAGCUCAGCUCUAGCCCUGUAGUUCUGCUAAGAAGAAUUGAGUCACUUUCGAUCCAGGAAGACCACAGAAAUGACUCUAAG
rnacentral:lncRNA from 1 species